rnacentral:rRNA from 1 species
AUUGAACGCUGGCGGCAGGCCUAACACAUGCAAGUCGAACGAGUGGCGGACGGGUGAGUAAUGUCUGGGAAACUGCCUGAUGGAGGGGGCUAACUACUGGAAACGGUAGCUAAUACCGCAUACCAUCGGAUGUGCCCAGAUGGGAUUAGCUAGUAGGUGGGGUAAAUGCUAACCUAGGCGACGAUCCCUAGCUGGUCUGAGAGGAUGACCAGCCACACUGGACCUGAGACACGGUCCAGACGCCUACGGGAGGCAGUAGUGGGGAAUAUUUCACCAUGGGCGCAAGCCUGAUGCAGCCAUGCCGCGUGUAUGAAGAAGGCCUUCGGGUUGUAAAGUACUUUCAGAGGGGAGGCGUUACCCGCAGAAGAAGCACCGGCGAACUCCGUGCCAGCAGCCGCGGUAAUUC